CUAGCGCAUAACAAUUGGAACUUGUGAGACAAGACGACUAUACGGCAUGGUGGUUAGAGUCACCACCAGAGGUAUACUUCUUCUUCCGCUUCCGGUUUCACUUUCAAACUCACUCUUCGUAUUCUCUUCUUCUUCUUCGAUGCGUUCUACAUUCACACUAUUUCGCAAUCUCACUCUAUCCACUCUCCACUCACCACCACCACGCACGCUCCCUUUCCGACUUCUCCCCACCCGUUUUCCCCGCCUCCAAGCUGCCACCGACCAAUGGGUUCUCCAUGAAGACCUUCCGGAACAUGACUUUUUCCAUUUCGAGGUGGAGCCGGAGGCUGAUCAGAAGCGGCUUCCCCGUCCUGAGGUCGAGGUGAUGGAGUUGAGUGAGGUGCCGGAACUGUGGCGGAGAUCUAGAGUUGCUUGGCUGUGCAAGGAGCUGCCCGCUCACAAGGCGGGAACUCUGAUUAGGAUUCUUAAUGCGCAGAGGAAGUGGUUGAGACAGGAAGACGCCACCUAUAUCAUUAUGCAUUGCUUGCGGAUUCGCGAAAACGAUACUGCUUUUAGGGUAUACAAAUGGAUGAUGCAACGGAGUUGGUAUCGAUUUGAUUUUGCUCUUGCUACCAGGCUGGCUGAUUACAUGGGUAAAGAGCGUAAGUUUGCAAAGUGCCGUGAGGUUUUUGAUGAUAUUAUCAAUCAAGGACGUGUUCCCAGCGAGUCAACAUUUCAUAUAUUGGUUGUGGCUUACCUAAGUUCUCCUGUUCAAGGUUGUUUGGAUGAAGCAUGUGGCAUUUUCCACCGAAUGAUUCAGUUGGGUGGAUAUCACCCCUGUCUUAGCUUGCAUAAUUCCCUUUUCAAAGCUCUUGUUAACAAGCCAGGGAAUUUUUCAAAGCAGUACCUUAAGCAAGCUGAGUUUAUAUAUCACCGAAUGGUUACAACUGGAUGUCAUGUACAUAAAGAUAUUUAUGGUGGCCUAAUUUGGCUGCAUAGCUAUCAAGAUUCUAUAGACAAAGAAAGAAUAGAAGCAUUGAGGGAAGAGAUGCUUCAUGCUGGAAUUGAUGAGAGUAAAGAGGUGCUAGUAUCGAUCUUGAGGGCUUGUGCAAGGCUGGGGGAGGUGGACGAAGCAGACAAAACUUGGUCCAAACUUUUGCAGUUUGAAAGCAACCCUCCAUCACAGGCUUUUGUGUACAAGAUGGAAGUCUACUCUAAGGUUGGUAUGCCUAUGAAGUCGUUGGAGGUAUUUAGGGAAAUGCAGUUGAAACUAGGUAACACAAGUGUUGCAGCAUAUAAUAAAAUAAUAGAAAUACUGUGCAAAGCACAAGCAUCCGAAUUUGCAGAAUCAGUCAUGACAGAUUUUGUCAAUAGUGGUCUGAAGCCCCUUACACCAUCAUAUGUUUAUUUACUGAACAUGUACUUCAACUUGGAAUCACAUGAUAAAUUGGAAGAGGUGUUCUCUCAAUGCCUGGAGAACUGUCGUCCUAAUACUGCUAUUUACAGUAUAUAUUUGGAUUCUUUGGUGAAAGUUGGUAAACUCGACAAGGCUGAGGAUAUCUUUAGCCAAAUGUUUCGUGAUGCAAGUAUUGGUGUCAAUGCCCGAUCAUGUAACAUCAUCUUACAUGGAUACCUAUAUUCGGGAAAUAACUUAAAGGCGGAGAAGAUCUAUGACUUAAUGUGCCAAAAGAAGUAUGACAUUGAUGCCCCGUUAAUGGAAAAGCUUGACUUUAUUCUGAGUUUGAGAAGGAAAAUUAUUAAAAAGCCAACGAGCCUGAAGCUAAGCAAAGAACAGAGAGAAAUACUGAUUGGGAUGCUUUUAGGUGGUUUGCAGAUUGAUUCUGAUGACCAAAGGAAGAACCACAUUAUCCGUUUCGAUUUUGAUGGCAAUUCUGAGAGCCAUUAUGUCUUGAAGAGUCAUAUACAUCGCCAGUUUUAUGAGUGGUUGCAUCCUACUUUUAAGCCAAGUGAUGACAGUGAGAACAUACCAGUUAAGUUUUGCACCAUUGCAAGCUCUCAUUUUGGCUUUUAUGCCGAGCAGUUUUGGUCAAAAGGUCAACCUACAACUCCAAAACUUAUUCAUAGGUGGUUGUCACCAUGUGUUCUUGCAUACUGGUACAUGUAUGGGGGCCAUCGAAAUUCAUCGGGGGAUGUUUUACUGAAAAUUAAGGCAAAUCGUGAGGGAGUGGAGAACAUUGUCAAAAAGUUCAAAGCCAUGUCAAUUGAUUGUAAAGUCAAGGGAAAGGGAAAGGUUUUCUGGAUUGGUAUUUUGGGAAGCAAUACGACUUGGUUCUGGAAAUUGGUUGAGCCAUAUAUUCUAGAAGAUGUAAGAGAUUUCACUAAGGCUGGUGUGAAUAUGAUGGGGCAGGAUUUAAUGGAAACUCAAGACAUUAACUUCAAUAGUGAGUCAGAUGAAUGAAAAAGGGUGAUACUGCAUUGUUGAUCAUGGUUGGACUCGGGAAAACAAAAUUUAGUAGUUCGCCGGACUAGGUUACACUUUUACACAGGUGGCUAGAAGCUGAAAACAUGUUUGCCUUUUGUACUCAAUGUUUUUUGGGGGGCUGCCAUGGUGAGUCUGCUGAUCUUCUGAAUCCUGCUCUCUUCCUGGUCGUAUUUGCUAUGAUUAUUUUUGGCUUGUUGGGUUUUGUCUUUCCUGUGAUCUUAAUAAUAUUCUUAUGACGCUGUUUCAUCUACGUAGCCGACUCUACCUAGUGAGAUAAUGAUUGGUUGUUGUUAUUGGGGUCUUCAUAAUCUUCUUUGAGCUUUAUAAGGGAUCUUCGGUGAGUUUAUCUUGGGUUUUGGUUUUCUUUUGGUUUGUUUGAUGACUAUCCUGCAUAUAUUAUGAACAAGGAUCUUCCGGCUCACCUUUUGAGAUACUUACCAGUUACCAUGCAACAAUUUCCUCAAGAUUGUGUUUCAACAAUUUCUCUCUGUUAGAUUGAAGGUUUCAGUAGUAGCACUGCAUUGGGAAGAUUGUAGAGAGCAAAACAUGUUUUUGUAGGUUUUUGUUCUCUUUCUCUGUGUCAAUUUAAAAUUCUGUCCUUUAUUUUUUGUCUGCUUCUCUUCCUUUUUAUGCUUAAAUUAUUACUUUAAAAUUUUGGGAUUCUCUUCCUGUUGGUUCUGAAGCAGUUUUAGCUGCGGUGGGGGUCCAGUGGGGGUCCAGUGAUUGCUGGAGCUUCCUCUAGAUAAGAAAAUAAAGAAUGUGAUAAGGAAAAGAGAAAAUUAUUCAAACAAAGUUCAAUAACUCAUAUAUAAUACCAGUGAAAUUGGUUCACACGUUGAUUCUUUAUGGGAAAAUGUAGGAAAAGAAAGUGUUUGCUUUUGUGUCUCAUGAAGUCAUGAGGAUCCAGUUGAUGUAAUUUGAAAAGAAUAUAAUGUGUUUUUUGGUCCUUAAGCUUUGUUUUCUUGACGUACGUGACAAUGUUCGAGGGUACAUAAACAUACAAAAAUACAUAAUCUGAAUUCUGAAGUGAUUUUUUAUGAAAUUGUUGGAAACUUGGAACUA